rnacentral:rRNA from 1 species
CCUACGGGAGGCAGCAGUGGGGAAUAUUGCACAAUGGGGGAAACCCUGAUGCAGCGACGCCGCGUGAGCGAAGAAGUAUUUCGGUUCGUAAAGCUCUAUCCGCAGGGAAGAAAAUGACGGUACUUGACUAAGAAGCCCCGGCUAACUACGUGCCAGCAGCCGCGGUAAUACGUAGGGGGCUAGCGUUAUCCGGAUUUACUGGGCGUAAAGGGAGCGUAGCUGGUGGCUUAAGUCAGAGGUGAAAGCCGAGGGCUUAACCGUAGACAGCUUUUGAAACUGGGCAGCUUGAGUGCAGGAGGGGAGAGUGGAAUUCCUAGUGUAGCGGUGAAAUGCGUAGAUAUUAGGAGGAACACCAGUGGCGAAGGCGGCUCUCUGGACUGUAACUGACACUGAGGCACGAAAGCGUGGGGAGCAAACAGGAUUAGAUACCCCAGUAGUC